GAUAUGUUGUUACACCAGAUUAUAAUUUUUGUUAUUUUUUUAUUAUAUUAUUUGUUUUUAUUACCAUCUGUUUUGGGGUAUUUUAUUUUGAAAUCUUUACGGGCUUUUAUUAAAUAAGGUAUGUACGCCAGCUCACGUCAUACGUAGUGAGUGGUUCAAUUCGCAGCGCAAUUAGCAGUUCGUCCUCUUUCCCGCAAUGGCACUAGAGGAGAGAGGCAGACUAAAUGAGAAUUGCAGAUAACAGUGCCUGUCUGGUUAUAUGUUUUGCUACACAGAGGAGAGAGGCAGACUAAAUGAGAAUUGCAGAUAACAGUGCCUGUCUGGUUAUAUGUUUUGCUACACAGAGAGAGGCACAGAAAAUAAAUCUUCCCGCCAAACCA